rnacentral:rRNA from 1 species
AACGAACGCUGGCGGCAUGCCUAACACAUGCAAGUCGAACGAGACCUUCGGGUCUAGUGGCGCACGGGUGCGUAACGCGUGGGAACCUGCCCUUAGGUUCGGAAUAACUCCCCGAAAGGGGUGCUAAUACCGGAUAAUGUCUUCGGACCAAAGAUUUAUCGCCUUUGGAUGGGCCCGCGUUGGAUUAGCUAGUUGGUAGGGUAAAAGCCUACCACGGCGACGAUCCAUAGCUGGUCUGAGAGGAUGAUCAGCCACACUGGGACUGAGACACGGCCCAGACUCCUGCGGGAGGCAGCAGUGGGGAAUAUUGGACAAUGGGCGAAAGCCUGAUCCAGCAAUGCCGCGUGAGUGAUGAAGGCCUUAGGGUUGUAAAGCUCUUUUACCCGGGAUGAUAAUGACAGUACCGGGAGAAUAAGCUCCGGCUAACUCCGUG